GGCUGACCUGAGAGUAGUGAGUUAUCUCAAUUGAUUAUUCAGUCAGUUACAGAUCAAACUCUUUGUUCUACUCUUUCCGCCUUCUGACUACUAUACUUAACUAGUCUUAA
ensembl:misc_RNA Y_RNA Y RNA